AUUGAACGCUGGCGGCAUGCUUUACACAUGCAAGUCGAACGGCAGCACAGGGAGCUUGCUCCUGGGUGGCGAGUGGCGAACGGGUGAGUAAUGUAUCGGAACGUGCCUGGUAGUGGGGGAUAACUACUCGAAAGAGUGGCUAAUACCGCAUGAGAUCUUUGGAUGAAAGCGGGGGACCUUCGGGCCUCGUGCUACUGGAGCGGCCGAUAUCAGAUUAGGUUGUUGGUGGGGUAAAGGCCUACCAAGCCUGCGAUCUGUAGCUGGUCUGAGAGGACGACCAGCCACACUGGGACUGAGACACGGCCCAGACUCCUACGGGAGGCAGCAGUGGGGAAUUUUGGACGAUGGGCGCAAGCCUGAUCCAGCAAUGCCGCGUGCAGGACGAAGGCCUUCGGGUUGUAAACUGCUUUUGUACAGAACGAAAAGUCUCUGGCUAAUAUCUAGAGAUCAUGACGGUACUGUAAGAAUAAGCACCGGCUAACUACGUG
rnacentral:rRNA from 1 species